UCGGUUGAAAAUCAGUGUUUAGGGGAGACA
rnacentral:piRNA from 1 species